UCUGAGAAUUUGAUCUUGGUUCAGAUUGAACGCUGGCGGCGUGGAUGAGGCAUGCAAGUCGAACGGAAUAAUGACUUCGGUUGUUAUUUAGUGGCGGAAGGGUUAGUAAUACAUAGAUAAUCUGUCCUCAACUUGGGAAUAACGGUUGGAAACGACCGCUAAUACCGAAUGUGGUAUGUUUAGGCAUCUAAAACAUAUUAAAGAAGGGGAUCUUCGGACCUUUCGGUUGAGGGAGAGUCUAUGGGAUAUCAGCUUGUUGGUGGGGUAAUGGCCUACCAAGGCUUUGACGUCUAGGCGGAUUGAGAGAUUGACCGCCAACACUGGGACUGAGACACUGCCCAGACUUCUACGGAAGGCUGCAGUCGAGAAUCUUUCGCAAUGGACGAAAGUCUGACGAAGCGACGCCGCGUGUGUGAUGAAGGCUCUAGGGUUGUAAAGCACUUUCGCUUGGGAAUAAGAGAGAUUGGCUAAUAUCCAAUCGAUUUGAGCGUACCAGGUAAAGAAGCACCGGCUAACUCCGUGCCAGCAGCUGCGGUAAUACGGAGGGUGCUAGCGUUAAUCGGAUUUAUUGGGCGUAAAGGGCGUGUAGGCGGAAAGGAAAGUUAGAUGUUAAAUCUUGGGGCUCAACCCCAAGCCAGCAUCUAAUACUAUCUUUCUAGAGGGUAGAUGGAGAAAAGGGAAUUCCACGUGUAGCGGUGAAAUGCGUAGAUAUGUGGAAGAACACCAGUGGCGAAGGCGCUUUUCUAAUUUACACCUGACGCUAAGGCGCGAAAGCAAGGGGAGCAAACAGGAUUAGAUGCCCUGGUAGUCCUUGCCGUAAACGAUGCAUACUUGAUGUGGAUAGUCUCAACCCUAUCCGUGUCGUAGCUAACGCGUUAAGUAUGCCGCCUGAGGAGUACACUCGCAAGGGUGAAACUCAAAAGAAUUGACGGGGGCCCGCACAAGCAGUGGAGCAUGUGGUUUAAUUCGAUGCAACGCGAAGAACCUUACCUGGGCUUGACAUGUAUUUGACCGCGGCAGAAAUGUCGUUUUCCGCAAGGACAGAUACACAGGUGCUGCAUGGCUGUCGUCAGCUCGUGCCGUGAGGUGUUGGGUUAAGUCCCGCAACGAGCGCAACCCUUAUCGUUAGUUGCCAACACUUAGGGUGGGAACUCUAACGAGACUGCCUGGGUUAACCAGGAGGAAGGCGAGGAUGAUGUCAAGUCAGCAUGGCCCUUAUGCCCAGGGCUACACACGUGCUACAAUGGCCAGUACAGAAGGUAGCAAUAUCGUGAGAUGGAGCAAAUCCUCAAAGCUGGCCCCAGUUCGGAUUGUAGUCUGCAACUCGACUACAUGAAGUCGGAAUUGCUAGUAAUGGCGUGUCAGCUAUAACGCCGUGAAUACGUUCCCGGGCCUUGUACACACCGCCCGUCACAUCAUGGGAGUUGGUUUUGCCUUAAGUCGUUGACUCAACCUGCAAAGGAGAGAGGCGCCCAAGGUGAGGCUGAUGACUGGGAUGAAGUCGUAACAAGGUAGCCCUACCGGAAGGUGGGGCUGGAUCACCUCCUUUU
rnacentral:rRNA from 1 species